CAAAGCGUAGCUUAAACCAAAGCAUCCGGCUUACACCCGGAAGAUCUCAUCUAAAAUGAUCACUUUGA
rnacentral:tRNA from 1 species